UACAGAGGUCCCAAGCGUUGUUCGGAUUCAUUGGGCGUAAAGGGUGCGUAGGCGGGUCUUUAAGUCAGGGGUGAAAUCCGUGGAGCUCAACUCCAGAACUGCCUUUGAUACUGGCGAUCUUGAGUCCGGGAGAGGUGAGUGGAACUGCGAGUGUAGAGGUGAAAUUCGUAGAUAUUCGCAAGAACACCAGUGGCGAAGGCGGCUCACUGGCCCGGUACUGACGCUGAGGUGCGAAAGCGUGGGGAGCAAACAGG
rnacentral:rRNA from 1 species